GCAAGAGAGAAGCACAGAUGAAGCACAUGCUUUGCUCCUGCACCGCUCCCACGCCUCCGCACUCCAGAACUGAUCCUUGGCAGCCCGUUUCAGGCAUUCCCUGGGGUCCUGGGAUGUGUUGCCAGAUAAGGGGGCACUACACGAAGUGUGUGGAGCCCCUGCCAAGAGGAGCGUCCACAGCUGACAUCCACAGCUCGGCCCCGCCCCAGCCUCUGCUGCCUCUCCCCAGCACUGCCCACGGCAGAGUUAUGAGGGAAACUCAGUACAGGUUCAUAAUUAGGCUGUAAAAAUCCACUCCAGGCUGAAAUUGGCCAUAUAAGUGCUCAGUGACUGAAAAACAAUUUUGUUUUGUUUCCCUCAACUGCAAAAGAAAGUGGUUUGAAAAUUAAGUUAAAAGCGACAACAAUCCAAAUUGUUUGCAUUGGAAAGGCCAACCUGGGAGGCAGCAAGGCUCCCGAAGGCGCGAACCCUGGACCUACCAUCGUCUUUGGUGCGCUCCAGGAUGAGGGGCGUGCUGGGGACCCCGUUCCCGAUGCGGGUGAACGCCAGCACCUGGAGCUCGUAGAGCACGAACUUGCGCAGGCCUGCCAGCAGGGCCGACUGCGUGUGGUUCCCUCGCACGAUGUGGCUCCUGGGCUCGGGAUCCAGGUCUUUGGCCCGGAACAGGAUCUGUGGUAUCGACACAGCACGAGGGUUAUCAGGAGGCGGGUGCCAGGAGGGACCGCCGUGGCAUGGGGCAGGCCCCCUUCGUGAAUCAAGGCCCAGCCAACUGUGCUUUCUCCCUGAGGAUGGCUGUGUGCAGGGCUUCUGGAUCUAAUUUGUCCAUGCUGGCAUUUGGGGAGGAAGGUGGUUGUAAAGUGACUGCGCUCCAGGGGAGCUUGAGUUAGUGCCCACGGCUUGGCGAGCCUGCUGCCUGGUCAUAAUCUGCAAGAUCUGAGGGCCCAACUGCAGCCAUGCCAACCACAGCCACUAAAACAAAGACUCGAUUAUGAACACAGACAACACUCUGCUUCCUGCCACAGGAGCCAGCAGCCCCCUGGGUUUUCCAGCCAUGGAAGCUGGUUUCCUGCCCCAGAAGACCUGCUGUCCUCACACAGACCGGGAGCUCUGGCCUCCUUGGGCCAUCUGCAGCUGUGCAUGCUGUAGGUACCCCACCCCAAGCUGCUGUCCUCCAGGGCACCCCACCCCAAGCUGCUCUAUUCCAGGGCACCCAACCCCAAGCUGCUGUCCUCCAGGGCACCCCACCCCAAGCUGCUCUAUUCCAGGGGACCCCACCCCGAGCUGCUCUAUUCCAGGGCACCCAACCCCAAGUUGCUCUCCUCCAGGGCACCCCACCCCAAGCUGCUCUAUUCCAGGGGACCCCACCCCGAGCUGCUCUAUUCCAGGGCACCCUACCCCAAGGUGCUCUCCUCCAGGGCACCCAACCCUAAGCUGCUCUCCUCCAGGGGACCCCACCCCAAGCUGCUCUCUUCCAGGGCACCCCACCCCAAGCUGCUCUAUUCCAGGGGACUCCACCCCAAGCUGCUCUAGUCCAGGGGAUCCCACCCCAAGCUGCUGUCCUCUGUGCUCUCCUCCAGGGCACCCCACCCCAAGCUGCUCUCCUCCAGGGGACCCCACCCCAAGCUGCUCUCCUCCAGGGGACCCCACCCCAAGCUGCUCUCCUCCAGGGGACCCCACCCCAAGCUGCUCUCCUCCAGGGCACCCCACCCCAAGCUGCUCUAUUCCAGGGGACCCCACUCCAAGCUGCUCUAUUCCAGGGCACCCUACCCCAAGGUGCUCUCCUCCAGGGCACCCAACCCUAAGCUGCUCUCCUCCAGGGGACCCCACCCCAAGCUGCUCUAUUCCAGGGCACCCUACCCCAAGCUGCUCUAUUCCAGGGCACCCCACCCCAAGCUGCUCUAUUCCAGGGCACCCCACCCCAAGCUGCUCUAUUCCAGGGCACCCAACCCCAAGCUGCUCUCCUCCAGGGGACCCCACCCCAAGCUGCUCUCCUCUAUGCUCUCCUCCAGGGCACCCCACCCCAAGCUGCUCUGCUCCAGGGCCUCCUGCUAAGACCUCACUCAAUGCCCACCUUCUCUGAACUGCUCCCUGAGAUCGGGGACCUGGAAGGCCAUAAAGGAUAGCAUCAGCAGGGAGGUGUUUGAAAAUAGCACAGCAAGCGCGUUUCUCGGGGCCCCAGGAAUGUGGUGUGAAGUUUUGGUCACUGAAUCCCCUCAACGGGACUGCCAUGUGUCACAGAGCCAGCAGGGCGCACUUAGAACACCCGGGGAAGGGAGAAGACAUGGGAGAGCAGGCGGGGAAAACAAAGAAUAGGGAUGUGAAGUACGGAAAGGUGGAGGAGGCACGCUCAAAACCCAGGGAGCAGCACUGAGACAAGCGUGGCCUCGCUGGCCGGGUCCGAAACAGCUCAUUCUGAUGCUUGGCAUUGCUGAGCCAAGGAGCAGAUGGGGAGACAGAGCCUGUCGCCCCGAGUGAUGGAACGAGGAACAGAAGGGGGUUUUAAAGGGGUGGGGUGGAUGCAUGGAAGAUGGAACCCAGAAAUGGCUCCCCAGAGAAGCUGGGACAGAUUCAACCCUGCCAGCGGAUGCCAUUGCUAGGACCGUGAUGACACACAUAGAAACAUGCACACAGCGAUCCACCUCACCCAGCCCUUCACAUGAGCAAGGCGUGCUGUGUAAAAGACCCCCUGAAUUCUCACACCAACCCUGGGACAAAGCUACCAUCGUUAUUCCCGUUUUACAAGCGGGGAGACACAAGCACAGGGCUUCAGUAACUGGCCCGCGGCACUGAGGCCAGCGAGGGCAGAGUCAGGCGCAGGCCCGGAGGUCAGUUCCACUCCGGCUGUGCUUUUCUUCUGGUGCCCUGUUUUGGCAUUUGUGUCAUAGUUAUACUGAUGCCUAAUUCCCAGGCUGCAAUGAGGCUUAGAUAAGACAACUGAAUAUCUUAAUAAAAAUCACAAACUGGC
rnacentral:lncRNA from 1 species